rnacentral:rRNA from 1 species
CGACUACAUGAAGCUGGAAUCGCUAGUAAUCGCGGAUCAGAAUGCCGCGGUGAAUACGUUCCCGGGUCUUGUACACACCGCCCGUCACACCAUGGGAGUCGGAAAUGCCCGAAGUCUGUGACCCAACCAUUAAGGAGGGAGCGGCCGAAGGCAGGUCGGAUGACUGGGGUGAAGUCGUAACAAGGUACC